AAAACCUAACUUUCUAUUCCUUCCUCAAAUUUCUUUACAAUUGAAGCUAAAAAGUAGAAGAAAGACCAUGGACGAUCGAGGGAUACAGGUAUGUAGUCUUUCUUUCUCUAAUUUUUCCUAAAAUUUCAGUGUCCCUAUCAUUUUUUUUCCUGCAAUUCGAUUUGUGUGUGUGUGUGGGGGGGGGGGGGGGGGGGGUAUUGCUAAUUAUGUUUAUUAUUUUUCAUGUUGAUUUUAGGUUGUUGCUAGAGAUAAUUCAUCAGCUAGAAAGUGUUUCAAGUGUGAUUUAGCUGGUCAUUGGGCUAAUCAGUGUCCAUGGAAGCAUUCACCAUGUCUUAAUUGCAACAAUGCAAUGUUAUUGCUCACUUCUAUAACUGAUAAGACCAAUGGCUGAAAGAAAUGCAAUUGAGGAGCAAGAAAAGAUAUUGAGGAAGGAAACUGAAAGACUGAUAAAGGUUGAAGAAAAAUAAUUGAAGGAAUCUGUCACUAUUGAGAUUCAAGGUGGUAAUGUGUCUGUGAGUGUGAGUGAGUUAUGUGAGGGUUUGUGUACUAAGAUUGUAAUAAGGGGACCAUGAACUAUGUGAGGUAAUGUGUGUGAUUGUGUAACACCCCAAAAUUCGACCCAUAUCCCAAUAAGACUUGAAUCGAAUCUCGAGGCAUUAUCAUCAACACCAUGGGCAAUUCGUCAUUUCUACUCUAUUAAUCAUAACAAAAAUCCGUGAAAGUCUGGUGUUGAAG
rnacentral:lncRNA from 1 species